UACGUAGGGGGCAAGCGUUGUCCGGAAUUAUUGGGCGUAAAGCGCGUGUAGGCGGCCAGAAAAGUCCGCUGUGAAAACUCGAGGCUCAACUUCGAGCUGUCGGUGGAAACUUUCUGGCUAGAGUCCGGAAGAGGAGAAUGGAAUUCCUGGUGUAGCGGUGAAAUGCGCAGAUAUCGUAAGGAAGGCCGGUGGCGAAAGCGAGCCUCUGGACAGUUACUGACGCUGAUGACAGCGAAGGCCAGGGAGCAAACGGG
rnacentral:rRNA from 1 species